UUUCCCUGGAGCUUCGGCCGCGCCCACCAGCAAAAUGGCGACUUCCGGGUCUUCGAGUAACAUGCAGCCGCCGCCUCCUCCUCUUGAGUCUGCGGAAGGUUACAGCUGGAGCAUGGAGGAGCUCUGGUCUAUGCAGCUCCUGAAUGGAGAUCAAUAAAGCUCAUGUCUAAUGAAAGCUAAACGAUGCCGUUUUGGGGUUUGCCUAUAUAUCUCUAUACAUUAUAUUAAAAAAUAUAUGACAUAUAUUAGGUGUGUUAAUGGGGGUGGCAAGAGGCAUAUGUCUUAAAAUACUAUAUGAAGAAUGCAGAUACGGGCUUUUAUACAUAUAUAUAGUAUUUUGUAUAUAUUGGACUAGUAGGUUUGUCCAAGUGAUUUUACUGGAAAAUAAAAAAAUUUACCAAGGUGGUAACUAGUUAUAUAUCCCAUGUAAACCACUCCGAUUCAUUAUUAAUUUAUCAUUAAAUAUAUUAUCGCAUAUACUAAUAAUGAUUUAUUGGUAUAAAACAGUUAAAAUGAUAGAGACUGCACUGGUCUACCGUCCGUCAACGGGCAACAAAGUCACAAUGAAUUGAUUGUUGUGAUUUUGGAAAAAAAACAGACUAUGCAUUAAUUAUUAUAUAAUAUUAAUAUGCAUGGAUGAUCCUUCAUCUAUAUAUCACCAAACACAAGUACUUAACCAAUAGGAAACCGAUACGUGAAGGAAAGGAAAGCUAUGCCUAGAUGGUCUACUCUUAGCUCAUUUUCUCUUUACCUUUCUAACAAAUCAUCUAAAUUUGUGCAUUCCCAUGCCAAAUCAAACCCUAGCAUCCGCCUAAUUAAUUGCCAUCUUCGCAGGUAAACUCUUCCUAAUCACUCCCAUCAUAUGCCUUUAAUAUAAUUCUCUCUUUAUUUUCAUCAAUAUUAUAUAUUUAUCUCAUUAAACUCCUGUUGCAAGUUGUAACAUAAAACAUACGGUUUUUAUAUAGAGUCGUCUCUUCUCAAAGUGCGAUACAACAUAUCAACUUGUGACCUUAAACUUCUACGAUGACAACUCUUUAGAAAUGUAUCUACAAUCUUAAUAUGCUCUAUAUAUAUAUAUAUCACAUGUUACAUGAAUCUCCUUAACCAAAACGCAGCAUACGAAAACUUGGCAACCGACCAUGCAAAAAUUGUGAAACCUCAAUUACUUGAUAGUCGAGCUUUAUCAUCUUUGCCGCGUAUGUUGAUCAUCCACGUCGGUCUCUUUAGCUGUAAAUCUGAAUAUCAUAGCUCUUUCUAUUUCCCACUCUACAUACAUUUAGUUGAUGAAGAUGAAUGUAUGUCGGGCUAAGAAGAGAGGUGAUAAUGACGAAGCUAAGUAAUAGAGAUUUGGAGAAGCAUCGACCAUGCACCAACCAUGCAUGCACGUAGGGAGAAGUAACUUAUUUUUUUUUCUUUUUCUCUAAUACUAAAUUUACACUUGGACGCAAACACUUCCCCAAACACUUUGUGAAAUGGGCUUAGCUGCUAGUGUACAUGCUGCAAUAAUGAAGAAGAAGGGAGCUUUGAUUCGGGGAGAUUAAUAACUUCCCAGCAUUCAUAUGGCUCCCAUGUUGCAGCGGCUUAUAUAGAGAACAGAUGGCUUCGUGGUGCCAAG
rnacentral:lncRNA from 1 species